CCUACGGGUGGCAGCAGUGGGGAAUAUUGCACAAUGGGCGAAAGCCUGAUGCAGCAACGCCGCGUGAGCGAUGAAGGCCUUCGGGUCGUAAAGCUCUGUCCUCAAGGAAGAUAAUGACGGUACUUGAGGAGGAAGCCCCGGCUAACUACGUGCCAGCAGCCGCGGUAAUACGUAGGGGGCUAGCGUUAUCCGGAAUUACUGGGCGUAAAGGGUGCGUAGGUGGUUUCUUAAGUCAGAGGCGAAAGGCUACGGCGCAACCGUAGAAAUGCUUUUGAAACGGGGAACUUGGAGUCCAGAAGGGGUAGGCGGAAUUCGUGGUGUAGCGGUGAAAUGCGGAGAUAGCAGGAAGAACACCGGUUGCGAAGGCGG
rnacentral:rRNA from 1 species